AUUGAACGCUGGCGGCAUGCCUUACACAUGCAAGUCGAACGGCAGCACGGGGCAACCUGGUGGCGAGUGGCGAACGGGUGAGUAAUGCAUCGGAACGUACCUUUCAGUGGGGGAUAACGUAGCGAAAGUUACGCUAAUACCGCAUAUUCUGUGAGCAGGAAAGCAGGGGAUCGCAAGACCUUGCGCUGAUUGAGCGGCCGAUGUCAGAUUAGCUAGUUGGUGAGGUAAAGGCUCACCAAGGCGACGAUCUGUAGCGGGUCUGAGAGGAUGAUCCGCCACACUGGAACUGGGACGCGGUCCAGACUCCUACGGGAGGCAGCAGUGGGGAAUUUUGGACAAUGGGGGCAACCCUGAUCCAGCCAUGCCGCGUGAGUGAAGAAGGCCUUCGGGUUGUAAGGCUCUUUCGGCCGGGAAGAAAUCGCACGGGCUAAUACCCUGUGUGGAUGACGGUACCGGAAUAAGAAGCACCGGCUAACUACGUGCCAGCCGCCGCCGUAACAC
rnacentral:rRNA from 1 species